rnacentral:misc_RNA from 1 species
GAUGAAGAACGCAGCGAAAUGCGAUAAGUAAUGUGAAUUGCAGAAUUCAGUGAAUCAUCGAAUCUUUGAACGCAUCUUGCGCUCCUUGGUAUUCUGAGGAGCAUGCCUGCUUGAGUGUCAUUAAAUUCUCAACUACACUGACUUUGAAUUGGUGUGGCUUGGAUUUGGGGGGAAAAUUGUUGUGGGCUUUUUGUAUAGUCUGCUCCCCUGAAAUUGAUUAGCGGUACCUUUGUGGAACUGUCUACAGGUGUGAUAAUUAUCUACAUCUUAGACAUCUGCUGGAAUGCUGCUUUCUAAACCUUACUUGUAUUGACAAUCUUGACCUCAAAUCAGGUAGGACUACCCGCUGAACUUAAGCAUAUCAAUAAGCGGAGGA